rnacentral:rRNA from 1 species
UGGGGAAUAUUGGACAAUGGGCGAAAGCCUGAUCCAGCCAUGCCGCGUGUGUGAAGAAGGUCUUCGGAUUGUAAAGCACUUUAAGUUGGGAGGAAGGGCAGUAAGCGAAUACCUUGCUGUUUUGACGUUACCGACAGAAUAAGCACCGGCUAACUCUGUGCCAGCAGCCGCGGUAAUACAGAGGGUGCAAGCGUUAAUCGGAAUUACUGGGCGUAAAGCGCGCGUAGGUGGUUCGUUAAGUUGAAUGUGAAAGCCCCGGGCUCAACCUGGGAACUGCAUCCAAAACUGGCGAGCUAGAGUAGGGCAGAGGGUGGUGGAAUUUCCUGUGUAGCGGUGAAAUGCGUAGAUAUAGGAAGGAACACCAGUGGCGAAGGCGUCCACCUGGGCUCAUACCGACACUGAGGUGCGAAAGCGUGGGGAGCAAACAGG